AGGGUUUGAUUAUGGCUCAGGAUGAACGCUGGCGGCGUGCUUAACACAUGCAAGUCGAGCGAGAAAAGUUCUUCGGAGCUUUUCUAGCGGCGGACGGGUGAGUAACACGUGGGCAACCUGCCUCAUAGAGGGGAAUAGCCUUCCGAAAGGAAGAUUAAUACCGCAUAACAUUGUUGAAAGGCAUCUUUUAACAAUCAAAGGAGCAAUCCGCUAUGAGAUGGGCCCGCGGCGCAUUAGCUAGUUGGUGAGGUAACGGCUCACCAAGGCGACGAUGCGUAGCCGACCUGAGAGGGUGAUCGGCCACAUUGGAACUGAGACACGGUCCAG
rnacentral:rRNA from 1 species